UGCAGUCGAACGAUGAACCGCUUUCGGGCGGGGAUUAGUGGCGAACGGGUGAGUAACACGUGGGCAAUCUGCCCUGCACUCUGGGACAAGCCCUGGAAACGGGGUCUAAUACCGGAUAUGACUGUCCAUCGCAUGGUGGAUGGUGUAAAGCUCCGGCGGUGCAGGAUGAGCCCGCGGCCUAUCAGCUUGUUGGUGAGGUAGUGGCUCACCAAGGCGACGACGGGUAGCCGGCCUGAGAGGGCGACCGGCCACACUGGGACUGAGACACGGCCCAGACUCCUACGGGAGGCAGCAGUGGGGAAUAUUGCACAAUGGGCGAAAGCCUGAUGCAGCGACGCCGCGUGAGGGAUGACGGCCUUCGGGUUGUAAACCUCUUUCAGCAGGGAAGAAGCGAAAGUGACGGUACCUGCAGAAGAAGCGCCGGCUAACUACGUGCCAGCAGCCGCGGUAAUACGUAGGGCGCAAGCGUUGUCCGGAAUUAUUGGGCGUAAAGAGCUCGUAGGCGGCUUGUCACGUCGGUUGUGAAAGCCCGGGGCUUAACCCCGGGUCUGCAGUCGAUACGGGCAGGCUAGAGUUCGGUAGGGGAGAUCGGAAUUCCUGGUGUAGCGGUGAAAUGCGCAGAUAUCAGGAGGAACACCGGUGGCGAAGGCGGAUCUCUGGGCCGAUACUGACGCUGAGGAGCGAAAGCGUGGGGAGCGAACAGGAUUAGAUACCCUGGUAGUCCACGCCGUAAACGGUGGGCACUAGGUGUGGGGCAACAUUCCA
rnacentral:rRNA from 1 species